rnacentral:rRNA from 1 species
UGUUCCUACGGGGGGCAGCAGUGAGGAAUAUUGGUCAAUGGGCGGGAGCCUGAACCAGCCAAGUCGCGUGAGGGAAGACGGUCCUAUGGAUUGUAAACCUCUUUAGGCGGGGAGCAAUGCCGGGCACGUGUGCCCGGAGGGAGGGUACCCGCAGAAUAAGCAUCGGCUAACUCCGUGCCAGCAGCCGCGGUAAUACGGAGGAUGCGAGCGUUAUCCGGAUUUAUUGGGUUUAAAGGGUGCGUAGGCGGAUUUUUAAGUCAGCGGUAAAUUGUCGGGGCUCACCCGGGCCGGGCCGUGGAAAUGGG